CAAAAAAACAGGCCUUCACGUGCGAAAUCAAAGUGGGUGGGGAACGUGUAUUUCGAGUCGCUGGAACUUCAUAAUGAAGCUGCUUUUGUGCAAUAUUCAGCGACGUUACCAGCUGUGUGUUAGACGAAACGAAAAUGCUUUGGUUUUGCAUCGUGUUUUGAGACUGUCAGGGUGACAUGAUGGAUUAAUUGCUGUUUGACUGACAAUAAAUGAACAUGUUUGUGUUUGGAGAUUGCUGAGGUUAAUAUCUUCACAAUUGGGAAAUCCCAACAUAAGUUGACUGCCAGUUUGACCACUGAUCUGCAUAAUAUCAGUGGGAGAGCAUGCUGAAUCCCACAGCUUCUGCACCAUAUGUUUCCUGGCCGAGUGGUUGAAAGUUGCGACCACACAUUCCAUGGGUGAUGAUAUCUACCAAAAUUCUUGGCGGCACAGUUCUACCCUCGUCAGUUGCACUUGUCCGAGUCUUUCUCUGCCUCUCAACCAACUAGAGAUAUUCCCCCCCCCCCAACUGCAUCCCGGCACAGCUUCACAUCAACCCAUCUAAUUAAUUUGUCGGAAAGGUUGACCACACAAAUUUCCUGUUUGGUUGUGGAGAUAGAAUCAUUUUUUUGUGAAAGUUUGAUUUCAGACACUUAAAAAUUGAAAUUGUCAUGUAUUAUUAGGCAUGGAAGGCAUUAGCAAAGCAUCUCAAUCAAGUAUUAAUUAUUUUACUUUGUCAAUGUUAAUUCAUUGUGUAUGCUAUUCACCUGUUUGCCUUGCUUUUUAUAAGAAUGACACAAAAAAGGAAAGCAUUUGUAAAGUAUUAGUUAAUUUUUUUUUAUAAAAUCUUAGACGAGAUGUUUAGUGAAUAUUUGUCAUAAAUUCUUCUUUAACUUGAUCAAAUCUGUCAUAUUUUAUUUAAAACGUGUUAAGUAUAUUUGUGUUACGUUUUAAAUGUUUAUCA